rnacentral:rRNA from 1 species
ACGGAGGGUGCAAGCGUUAAUCGGAAUUACUGGGCGUAAAGCGCGUGCAGGCGGUGCGAUGAGUCGUGCGUGAAAGCUCCCAGGCUUAACCGGGAGAGGCAGUGCGAGACUGUCGGACUAGAGGCAGGUAGGGGCAAGUGGAAUUCCGGGUGUAGUGGUGAAAUGCGUAGAGAUCCGGAGGAACCCCGGUGGCGAAGGAGACACCCUGGGCCGUACCUGACGCUAAGACGCGACAGCACGGGGAGCGAACGG